AACGAACGCUGGCGGCAGGCCUAACACAUGCAAGUCGAGCGAGGACUUCGGUUCUAGCGGCGGACGGGUGAGUAACGCGUGGGAAUGUGCCCUUCUCUACGGAAUAGCCCUGGGAAACUGGGAGUAAUACCGUAUACGCCCUAUUGGGGAAAGAUUUAUCGGAGAAGGAUCAGCCCGCGUUGGAUUAGGUAGUUGGUGGGGUAAUGGCCUACCAAGCUGACGAUCCAUAGCUGGUUUGAGAGGAUGAUCAGCCACACUGGGACUGAGACACGGCCCAGACUCCUACGGGAGGCAGCAGUGGGGAAUCUUAGACAAUGGGGGCAACCCUGAUCUAGCCAUGCCGCGUGAGUGAUGAAGGCCUUAGGGUUGUAAAGCUCUUUCAGCUGGGAAGAUAAUGACGGUACCAGCAGAAGAAGCCCCGGCUAACUCCGUG
rnacentral:rRNA from 1 species